GGGUGCGUAGCUCAGUGGUUAGAGCACAGCCCUUAUAAGGCUGCGGUCGAUGGUUCAAAUCCAUCCGCACCCACCA
rnacentral:tRNA from 1 species